rnacentral:lncRNA from 1 species
CUUGCUCCUUUUGGUACAACUGCUUAAGUAAUGGACAGUCAUGAAUUGACAAAGUAGAAAGAGAGAUAGGUAGACCCUCCUCUGGCAAGCUCUCAAGACAAGGGCAAUCUUCAAUAUAUAGAGAUUCAAGUGAAGUGAGGUGGAGAAGACCCUUGCAGUUUAUUUUUUUUAGGCAGGAACAAUUUUUCAAAUCAAGAGAGUUAAUACUUGAUGGCAGCAUACUCUCCUCUGGAAAGGACUCGAAGAUUUCAAAAUCAUCACUAAGACUGAAUUGUUUCAGAGAUUUGAGUUGGAACAAACCCCACUCCUCUAUUGAAGCCAUCAAAUUAGGGCAUCUUUCUAUUCGGAGGCUGCCUAGGUUGGAAGGCAACUGCCUCCCGAAAAAUGAUUCCAGCAAUGGACAAUCGUACAACACGAGAGAAUUAAGAUUGGUGAACAAGUGUAGUGCAAAAGGCAAGGAGGAAGAGUGCCAACUUGUUAUGGUUAAAGUGCGAAGAGAAUUACAGCUACGCAUAUCCAAAGAGGACCAUUCUAGAUUUUGACCAAAGAAGUCUUCAACUUCCAAUUCUUCAAGAAAGGUACUGUUAAAUAGAAUUUUCUCUAGGGCGGAUUCAAUGAUCUGAGUUCCACAAAGGAUGACCUUUUUCAAGUUGGAUGACAAUUUAUUUAUCAAAAUGCCAUCACAUCUCUUUAGUUCUAGCUGAAUGAUAUUAUAAGCAAUGGGAAUUGAAGCCUCCAAAUCUUGGCAAUCAAUUAUCUCCAAUUUUUGCAAGCAAGGAAGAUGUUGAGGCAGUUUCCUUUUCAACUUGGGACAGUAUCUUAUUGAAAGCUCUUUCAGCAAAGGGAAACCUUCAAUACAUAACCAAUCUUUCCAUUCAGACAUAUUCUCAAACCGCAAAGUUUCAAGGGAUCUAAAUGUAAAAUUUGAUGAAUUAUAGCGGCAAAACUCUGAACCAAUGAUACCUAUUCCAUGACAGCCUGAAAUGGAAAGCUUCUUGAGAGAUGGGAACUGCUUAAUUUGUGGCAACUUGGAACAGAGUUUACAUCCCAACAAAUGAUGAUCCCCAAGCCAAUUUGGAAAGCUACUACCUCUGUAGUCAUUGAUGGUGAGCCUCACGAGGUUACUAUUUGGUUGAAGAGCCUCCAAGAUAGAGACAUGUGCUUCAGUUUCUGAGUCAUCUAUUUCUCUCCAUUCAUCGUACGACAAACUUAAUUCUUCUAAAUGUUUCUUAUCUUUCAAAUUUGCUGCCAUAGCAUCUGCUGGAUCAGCCACAUUUUUCAACCCUGAAAUUCGAAGUCUUCCUCUAAGGUGGUUGAGUUCUGCCAACUGCUUAAUAUCAAAUCCACGCUGCUCUCCCACAAUAAAAUCAGUCAGCAUCUCAAGGUUGAUUAACCCUCUCAUCUCCUUUGGCAUCUUCUUAAUAUGGGUGCCUUUCAAAUUAAGAUGACGUAAAUUGAUGAGUUUGCAAAAAUUUGGCGGGAGCUCAAGUAGUUUAAAACAUUCUUCCAGUAAGAGCGUAUGCAAAUUAUACAACAUACAAAUGGAAUUAGGUAAGCUUGUAAUCUCGGUGUAAGAAAGGUCUAGAUAGCGCAGAAGCUUUAAGUUUCUUAUCUCAUCAGCUAGCUCUGAGAGAUUGCAACCAUUGAAAGAUAACUUCCGUAAAUAUUGUACUCUUGAAUACAAAUUAUACUGCACAUUGGUGGAUAUCUUAAAGCGUUUAUCACCAUAGCCUUGUGCUUCUACCAUCAGACUCCGUACUCCUUUAAUGUUAUGAAUCUGCUUUAGUUUUCUAUCACCAUCUUCCAAAUCAAGGCAGCACCAAAUGUGACGUGUCCUUUGAGGGAUAUCUUGCACUUUCACACCCUCUAUUCGUAAGCAGAAUUCUCCUGACAUUGAUGUCGCUAAAUCAUGGACAAGAUCAUGCAUGAUGAAAUUGUACUUACCAGCCCAGAAUGGCAUAAUUGCUGAUUGUUGGAAAAACGACAUUGACACUAGAUCAUUGAAGAAUUUAUUACCCAACUCUUCUUCAUCUUUGGCUAUUCCCUUUAUCAAACCUUCUGCCAUCCAAAGUUUGAUUAAUCCAUCCUUUUCAAACUCAUAACCCUUGGGAAAUAUAGAACAAUAAGCAAAACAAUGCUUCAGAUUGGAAGGGAGGUUAAGGUAACUCAUUCUUAGAACGGAAUAAAUGUUGCUGUCACUCUCAGGUAAACGCCACAAAUCAGUCUCUAAUAUCUUAACCCAUUCAUUUUCAGAGAAUCUUCUUUGCAAGAGAAUCCCCAAUGUUUUCAGAGCUAAAGGCGACCCCCCACAUUUUUCUACUAUUUUCAUACCAAUCGAUUCAAGAUUUGGAUAUUCAAACAUAUUCCUGCCUUCAAAAGCAUGUCUUACAAAUAAACUCCAAGAGUCACUCUCCUCCAAUUGCCUUAAAUGAAGUAUCUGGGUGUAUCUCAUGACUGAUGCAACUUCUUUAUCAUGUGUUGUCACUAUCAUCCUCCCUCGAGAAGGUUCCUGGUUAAAAAUAAGUAGUAACCGCUCCAGCAUAUUGCAAUGUUUGAUCCAUACAUCAUCUAGAACAAGCAAAUAUUUCUUCCCUGCUAGCCGCUGUUGCAAUUGACGUUUAAGUAUUUCCUUGUCGUCAUCAUAUAAUGUUGAUAAAGAAAUUGACUUGAGAACUGAUUUGAUGAGAUGACGAUAAUUAAAAGAUUCUGAAACAUGGAUCCAUCCUAUAACUUCAAAUUGAUCCCUCGUCAUGUGGUCAUUGUAAACAAGCUGCGCAAGGGUUGUCUUACCUAUCCCGUCCAGACCCACUAUACUGAUUAUGGAUACCCGGUUGUAACCGUGACUGUCUGAAAGUAAAAAUUCAAUUAUUUCUUCUUUCUCAUGCUCUCUACCAUAUAUCACAGAUUCAGCCACCAAAGAUGCAGUUGAAAAUCUGCUGGCUCCAUCUUCAUAAUAAUAACGACUUAAUUCGUGAAGUCCCAAUAUAUUCUUUUGAUCUGCAAGAAACUCUAGCCUCUUGAGCAAUACUUUAAUCCUAGAUUCAAAUCGAUUGAUAGAACCUGAAAGAAAGCGUUGUAUCUUUCCCUUUUGUUUUGCAGCGUCACUAGCAAUGAUGUCCAAUAGUUGAUCUAAUUCGUAUACCUCAUUACUCGCAUCAUCAACCCAAUUCUUCACGUUUUGAUUCUCGUACUUCUUUGUCUCUGCGUCAUCCAGCACUUGAUUGAUAGAAACCAAUGUGAUUUCAAGUUUUUUCACAAGCUUUUCAUGGAGGUAGUCACUGAAAUCUGUUGAAGCUAAUCUCUCACAAAUCAAUUGAAUGACGGGGGAAAGAAAUGCCCGACGAACAACAACCUCUGCCAUGAUAUCAAUUAAUUCAACAAAACCAAAAUGAUCAGGCUAUAUGCAAGAAGAUCAGUUUGGUCAACGAAUCCCCACACCUACCAUAUUACCAUCAUGUUUAUUUAUUCAUUCAUUCAUUUGUUUAUUGUUACAAUACCAACCACCUCAACUCUAUUCACUUGUUUCAACCAUAUAUUCUUUUUUUAAGGGGUGAAUAUUUUGUUAUUCACUGCAUUUUAAAAUGAUAAACUUAUGCCAAAUAACACAAAGAGUGGGAAUAAACUAGCCUAGGCUAGAAGUUGUUAGUCUAUCAUAUGCUUAUGUUUUUGUUUGAGUUUAACCUAUUAUAAAGUCUAGUAUGAUAUGUUAGUCUACUUAAAUGAAUUUCUUUUCAUAUAAAAGUAUUUAAAUAAGUAAUCUGACUUGUAUUUGUUUACACAUAAAAUAAUUAUCUUGUUAGCCAAAGUCGACUGAUAGACAAUCAUAGGUUAGGCAUGUUCCCCCCUCCCCCCCAUGGAAGAUUAGGCGAGUGUUAUUGCAACCCAACGAGGACCAUCUGAUUCUUUCUCAGUCUAAUGCUUAGUAGAACUGGACAAUGAGGUACGAAACUAACGAUCCUUGUUUUUAGCACCAUUAACCAGAAAGAGCGAUGAGUAAGGAGUUAUGUUUCAAGGAAAAUUGUGCACUAUGGACGUUAUCAACAUAUCAAGUUGUCAAGUUGAAAGAUGUCAGAUGAACAAGGGGCGCCCCAAACCCCUCAAAGAGGAGAAAACUAACGCACUACAUGUCAUGUCAUGUCCUUCCCUCUCCUCCAAAAUCCAACUCGCACAAAAUCCACAAAUUCAUGUGUUAUUUUGUAUUAAAAAAAAAAAUCUAAAUUUUUAGUUUUCGAAGACAGAGAUGCUCUAAAUUCCAAGUUUUUUUAAGUUAAAAAAAACCAGACCUCCCCUGAGUCCUCUUUAAAUAACAUAAACACUCACUCUAGUUUUAUAUUAGACACAAACAUCUCUUAAGUUUUUUUAAAGGCUAAAACGCACUUUUUGCCCCCUAAGUUUGCAAAAGUUGCAAUUUUGACCCCCUAUUAAAAAAAAUGGCAAAAGUGACCCCUUAUGUUUAGCCCCUUCUGCAAAACCUCAAUUUUGACCCAGUCAAUCCUAUGUGUCAUGCCACCUAAUUUAAAAAUUUGCCAACUAUAUAUUUUUGUAAUUUAAAAUAAAUAGAAAUGCCACAAUGUAUUUUAAUAAUUAAAAAUAAAAUAAAAAAUGAAAGAGCUUUCUUCUUACCAGAUCCAAACGUAAAAACCAUUCCUUACUCACAAAUCAAAAUCCUAAUUAAAAAUCACAAACAAACUAAUGGGUCAAAAUCAUAGAUUUUGAAACUUUCUCAAAAACCCAUCCUUUGUACAAUAACAAUUCAAUUCAGAGAACUUGCUUUCACAAAAAAUGAAGUUUAUCUUCGUGAAAUCAGAAACAAAACAAUUAUUACUUGCUGCUGAUGUUGCUGCAAUUCUGGGAACCUAGAACAAGGGCGGCGGCGUGAGAAUACGAGUUGUUGGAAAGAGAUAGAUCCAAUUCCGAGAGAGAGAUGUUUAAGGUUUUAGAGGGAGUUUUCGUAGAAUUUAUUUAUUGUAGAUAGAUCUGUCAACCACCUCCUCCCUUUUCUUCUUCUCUUUCCGUUCUUUCCAUUCUGUUUUCCUCCAAACUAACCGCCGUUUUCUUUUGCUCUUUAGAUGAGAGAUUUGGAAUCUGCGAUUUGGUUUCAAAGAUGAAAGUUUGAGUUACAGGUAUAUGAGAGAUUUCAGAUUUGUUCAAAGGUUGCUGGGUUUUUAGUUGUAUUUGAUGAAGAAGAUGAAGAAGAGAUGAAGUUCUUCUAGGUUUGUCGCAAGAAGAGAGAUAAAUUACCUUUAGUUUCCUUUUUAAUUAUUUUAUUUAAAUGAAUAAUGUGGUGGAUUUUGUAUUUCAUUUAAAAUUGAAAAAUUGCACAAGUGUCAUCUGAAUCAGCUAAGUUAAAUGCUACCUUUGCGUUGACCUGGUCAAAAUUGAGGUUUUGCAGAAGGGGCUAACCAUAAGGGGUCACUUUUGCCAUUUUUUUUUAAUAGGGGGCCAAAAUUGCAACUUUUGCAAACUUAGGGGGCAAAAAGUGCGUUUUAGCCUUUUUUAAAAUAGAUAGACACAUCUAGGGGUGGACAAAAACCCGCAGCCCGAGAAAACCCGUCCAACCCGAUCUGAAAAAUGAUAAACGGGCGGGUCGAAACGGGUCUACGGGUCCAAGAAAGAGCAUCUUCAGUUUACAACGGGUUGGUACGGGCGGGCCCGGGUAGGAAAAACGGACCCCUCGAUACCCGAACCCACCCGCAGAUGCAUAUCAUGUGAGAGGAGGAUAAUACACACGCCCCAACAGCUGUUUCUCGAACAGUGUGAUAUUCCUUUUCUUUUCUUUUCUUGACAGAGUGAGUGGACAAUGCCUUAUCAGUGGGAUAUUUAAUUCAUUUAAUAGUAUUAUUUUAACUAGGUUUAAUUAAUUGAUGAUAAGAGUAGAUGAGUAGUACACUCUAUAUAGGAAAUAGGGUAGUCAUCAAGUUCAAUUUUUUACUUUUACGAAGCACAAGCUUUGAAUUAAUCCAUAAAAAUAAAAACAAAAGCUCUAGUAUAAUAAAAAAAUGAUGUGAUUUUACUAUGAAACUCUACCAACACCACAGAGAGAUAGACUAUGGUAUCACUCUUUAGAAAAAAUAAAGAAUACAAAUCAUGUGAUCCAUCUCCUUCAUUUCAUUUCAUCUAUAUUCUCCCUUUAAUUUUGAAGGCUUAGCUUCCAUUGUUGUCUAUGUAAAACAGAGAAUUCCAUCAAUUUCAAAUGCCACUGUCUUAGAUCUAUGCAAGAUCUUCUACUCGAUAUGUACAACAAAGAAGAAGAAACCAAACAAUUCAUGAUUUCUUAUGUCCGGAUCUUCCAAAAAGUGUUACCUUCACUUCAAUAAAAAUUAGAGUUGCUGGAAAAAUCACUGAAGGUUUCUCUGCAUCUAACCCGCGUUAACCCAACCCGUGAACCGUACGACCCGUAACCCGCUGAACCCGCAACAAAAAAGGGGUUGAAAUGGGCUUCUGUAGGACACCCGCGGGUUGGGCAGGGUUGGUGUUUUGAGCCCGAACCCGCCCGACGCCCACCCCUAGACACAUCCCUUUGAGACUCAGCAACUUAACACCGUUAGUUUUUUAUUUUUAUAACUAAAAGGGAUACAAAACUUAGGCUAAAGUGCACGCACUUUUUCAUCCAUAACUUUCAAAAACUUGCAAUUUUAAUCCCUUAAGUACAAAAACUACAAUUUUAUCCCUUAAGAUUUAGUCUCAUUGCAAAUUUGAUCCUUUUGAUCAAUUUUGACCUAGUCAACGUCUACGUGGCAGACCACAUCUGUAAUUAAUUAAUUAAAAAAAUUAAAAAACCAAAAAAUGAAUUUUUAAAUUAAAUAAAUGAAAAAAGAAUUAAAAAAUCAGAAAAAGAAUUUUUUUCCUUCCUCAUCUUCUUCCUUCCUUCCUUCCUCUUCAACAUUAUCUUCCUACAACUUCAUAAAAAACUCAAAAACAACUAUAUAGGUGAAAUAUUAUUAUAUAAUAUAUAUUCUUCUUCUUAUGAAAACACCCCUAUCACAUAAUUUCCAGAAUCUGCAUAUCCCUCUCUCUUAGCUCUCUCUUUGUUCCGUAAUUUCCACCGAUUUCAAUUUCGGUUCACAUUUACCAUACAUAUAAAUCAAACUAGUUCCCACAAACACAUCCUGAUCGAAACCACACUUCAAAACCGACUCAUGAACCAAUUUUCCAACCAUAACCCCAAGAAAGUUCAUGUCUGCUAACGGUAAACUUCUCCGUCCGAUUUUCCAACUGUACCAGUUUUGCAGCAAUUUGAAGGAAGGGGGAAGUUGGUGGUAGUUCUGAUAGAUGUUGAUGAAGAUGGACAUGGAGAGGGAUGGCUUUCAAAUAUCACCUGAGAGAAAUGAAUCUUGAGUUGAAUUGAUUGGGUGGAGUUCGGAGAAACGUUAGAGAUGAGGAUGAUUGGAUGGAGUUGUUGAAUUUUCAAUUUGUUUCCUGAUUUUUUAAUUUUUUAAUUUACUUAAUUAAAAAAAUGAUUAUAGGUUUUUUUUAAUUUUUUUUAAAUUCAAUUUACAUAUGUGGCGUGCCAUGUAGGCAUUGAUUAGUCAAAAUUGGUCAAAAGGAUCAAAGAUGCAAAUGGUUAAAUCUUAGAGGGCUAAAAUUUUAGGUUUUGUACAUAGGGGACCAAAAUCACAAUUUUUUAAAACUUAAAAGGGGGAAAGUGCACUUCAGUCUAAGAUUUACUGUGUAAAUUAAGAUACAUUGGAAAUGUAAAGUGAAAAUGGCCAACAACAAUUAAGUGGUUGAUGAGCUUCAAUUGAGUUUGGAUGGAUGGAAUAAUUCUUAGCCAAGUAGAUAUUGCGGAAGAACUUUGGAUUACCAACUUCUCAUUUUAUAUGAGGUGAAGCAAAGGAAGAAAAAUGUAAAAUUUCGAGGGCUUUUCAUAUGAAAAGCAAUCUAUUAGAAAAGGUAAGUAAGUAAUAUGAAAUGCAAUCUAUAGCAGGAAAAAAUGAUGAACAGUUAGCAUAGAUAGGAAAUGACCUGGGCGUGUUUCAAGUUUCAACUAAGUGAGAUAUGAUUGAUUGAUCACCAAAAUGAGAGAAUACAAAAAAAAAAAAUAUAUUGGGAAACGUCAAUACUUUAUUAUUCACAACUACAUUUUUAAAUUGAUAAAAAUGAAGAUAUCACUAAAGUGAUAUCACCAAAAUGAAAAUACUAUAGAAAUUUUAGGGGUCAAACACCCGUAUAGGUCACCUCCCUCUAUGUCGAUCACUAUGUUUUCUAAAGCUCCCCUUGUGGUUGAAGUUGACACCGUUCUCAAAUGCAUUAAAUUAAUCCUAAAGGGACAUCUUGUCGUAGAGAUGGGUUGCGAGCCCAACACCUUUUAGAUGCAUUGUGUGGAGAAGGUUCAACUGUGGCUAGAGAUCUUUUGUGUGAUAUCACUUUAGUGGUUAACCUAUGAUUAGGAGGAAGAUGUGCCUUGAGUUUGGUAGAGUUUGUAGCUUCUUCACCCUUGUCACCAUUGUUAAAUCCUGAUGGUGGAAUACACUCUAUUGCAGUAGGUACUAUUUGGAGGCGUUUGGUAUCCAAAGUUGCUAUGAAAGGAGUUGGUAAAGAUAUGGCUAUCUCAAUGAAUUUCAGUUUGGUGUUAGGGUUUGAAGUGGGGCAGAGGCCAUUUUGCAUAGUGUCAAUAGAGUAUUGAACCUACGACAUGGAGAUGGUUCCUUGACAAUGCUUAUAGUAGAUUUUUCGAAUGCCUUCAACUUGGUAGAUAGGUCAGCACUGCUACGUGAUGUGAGAUUGAGAUGCCCAUCUAUUUCUCUCUAUGGGUUGAGUUUCUUUAUGGCGAAGCAACGAGGUUAUACGUUGGCGGUGGGCAUAUUAUGUCUGCUUCUGGAGUGCAACAAGGUGACCCAUAGGGACGCUCCUUUUUGCUCUUAUGUUACACCCUCUUAUUCAUCAGAUUAGAAAUAGUUGCAAGCUUCUUCUUCAUGUUUGGUAUCUUGAUGAUGGGACUCUUGUAGGGGAUUCAAAGUAGGUGGCUAAGGCUUUGGACAUCAUUCGAGUUUUUGGACUAGAAUUGGGUCUGGUAUUGAAUAUUCGUAAGAUUAAGAUCUUUUGGCCUUCAUGUGAUGGUAAUCAGCAUCGCGAGGGGUUUUUCCCUAUGGAUAUUGGGAGGCCGUCAUUGGGGGUGAAAUUGUUUGGAGGGGUUGUUAGCUGAGAUAAUGGUUUUAUCGAGGGGUUGGUCAUGAAGAGAGUUUCCAGUGUUGUUGAGUUAAUGCAACUUCUUCCACAGUUACGAGAUCCUCAGAGUGAGCAUCUUCUACUUCGAUCAUGCAUGGGUAUCGCCAAAAUUUUCUUUGACCUAAGAACGUGCCAACCGAUUCACAUGGAGGAGGCGAUUGUGUUGUUUGAUAAAGAGUUGUGUGGAGUGGUUGAGGAUAUUGUGGUUUAUUGAGGUCCAUUCUUUGGGGACCUUCAAUGGAGGUUGGCUUUUUUACCUAUUAGGUCUCGGGGGUUGGGUUUAUACUCACUAGUAGAGGCUUCCUCGUACGCUUUUGUGGCUUCUAGGGCGCAGUCUGUUGAAACAAAAUGUGUUUAACAUUACCACCUUAAGUUUUAAUGAUAACAAAGUAUUAAAAAGUCAAUUGGAUAUGCUAAUAUGAAGGUGACAAAAACACAAGAAGGAGAGUUGAAUUGUGGUUUCUUUUUCUUUUCUCCUACUGAAGUCACUGUUCAGAAGCAGAUAGAGUUCAGCUUCUGAAGUGAGGUUCAGAAUCUAAAUGCAGCAGAUAAGUAAUGAGAGAGAGAGAGAGAGAGAGAGAGAGAGAAGAAAGACACAAAUCAAUUAUACAGGUUCCUUCCACAAACCGGAAGUAGUUUCUGUCCCCCUUGCACUUCCAAGGAGAUUUCACUAAAAUCAAUAUUUGAUUACAACAGCUCACUGCUAAAACUAGCAAGAGACUUGAAACUACUCAAUCACAACUGCAAGAGAUUUCCUAUGCUCAAGAACAAAAUCAAGAGACUUCGUAUGCUCAAGCACAACUACAAGAGACUUAUAUUCAAAUAGAAUUACAAAGAAAGAUGUUUGAGGUUGAACACUUGAUAUAUAAUCAGUGAUGUUCACAAUACAAAUCAGAUACAUACUCUUAAGACUCUAGAAUUUCUAAGAUAUAAAAGUUGAUAAGAAAUUCUAAGUGAACUUUGAUGUGAAACAAUUUCAGCAGAGUGUUGACACUUGUAAAAUUGUUGUGAGUCUCUUUUAAAUCUUCAAGUCUUCACUCCUUUAUAUAGAGGUGUGAAAGAGACGUUGUUGAUUGUCAGCACAUCAAAAAGAGUUGUUUGAAGCUUGAUCAAAUCACCAAUGAUCUGUUGCUUGAUUUGGUUAUUGUCCUAUGAAGGAACAAUUUCAAAUUCAUUCCAAGAAUAGAGGAAUACCAGCGUAGUCACAGCUAUUGUUCUUGUACUAUUGCAGACACAAAAAUAGAGUAAUGGAGGUAGUGGUAGUACAAUUGUACUAUUGUCCUUUUCCAACGUUCUUCAAAGAAUAAGCAUCCAAUGCCUUUAAAAUUCCUCUGAAUUAGCCGUUGCUCCAGGCUUCUCCAAAAAAUGUGCUUGAGCAUUUGUAAUCAAAUAUUGAUUUUAGCGAACUCUCCUUGAUUUGUAUUGCUUUUAUUUGAAGUCUAUAUAGGUCCUAAUUUGGAGUGGAAUUUUCUCAAUCUCAAACCAAAAAGAAGUGUCAAUUGGUGAUUUAGUUUCUCAUAUAGGUCCUAAUUUGAAGUGGAAUUUUAUUUGGAGGAGAGAGUUUUUUGUGUGGGAGGGUCAUCUUUUCGCAAGUUUAUUGGAAGACUUGGAGGGUGUGAGUUUGUCUCAAGAGGAGGAUCUGUGGAGUUGGAACUUGGAAGAGUGUGGGAUUUUCUCGAUGAAAUCGGCCUACAAGAAAUUGGACGGUUUGAUGUCGUCGGAAGUCUUGUGGGGUGAGGAGGAAAAAGGAGUGUUCAAGUCAUUGUGGAAGAGUCCAGCGCCUUCAAAGAUGAUAGCUUUCUCUUGGAAGAUUUUGCUUAAUCGUAUUCCGACCAAAGACAAUCUUAGUUUGAGGAAUAUUUUAUCCGGAGGUUUCACGGUCUUGUGUUUUAUGUGACGAAAGGGAGGAAUCAGCAAUUCAUAUUUUCCUUCAUUGUAAGGUGGCGAGUGGGGUGUGGUUGGAGGUUAUCCGUUGGUUCGGCUCCUCUUUUAUUAUGCCUCCGAAUAUCUUCAUUCAUUGGGAGUGUUGGAGUGGUAUUCAUAGAAACAAGAAAAUCCGGAGGGGACUGUAGCUUGUUGGCUCACCACAAUUUGGGUGUUAUGGAAUGUUAGAAAUAAUAAAAUCUUCAAAGAUUUAAAUUGGGAGGCUGGAGAAAUAGUGGAUGAAAUAAAAGUGGUCUCUUGGAGGUGGAUGUUGUCUUGGAUAAAAUAUAUGGCAUGUUUAUACUAUGAAUGGAGGUGGAAUCCUAAAGAAUGCCUUUUGAGGUAAAUGGAGGUUAGCUGCUGUUUGUGCUGAAGGAGGUUCAUGUAUGCUGUUUGUGAUGCUGUUUGCACCUUCUGUUUUUGGUUUGGCAGGCUCCUUUAGCUGUUCAGUGCUGGGCUGCUAUCUGCUGGUCCAUGCAGCGGCUAGCUGUGUUACGGAUCAGCUUCUGUGCUGCUUUUGGACCACCUGCUUUUGCUGUUAAGGUUUGGGGAGGGGUUUUCUGGGAGUUUUUUUUACUGAUAUGAGCUCUUUCCCCUCAAUUAGGAGGUUUUGUGCUGUUGGGUGUUAGGUGGUUUUGGGAAGGGCGUUUUGGACGUUCCUUUUAUAUAUGGUUUGGGUGGUCACCGUUGGGUGUUCCACAUAUUUACGGCACCUUGUAUUUAUCGCUUUUCUGUCCAAGUUUGUGGUUUCUUUACACAUUCUUUGGCUUAAUAAAUUUGGUUGUUUCAAAAAAAAAAAUUGACAACUGAAGCAGGGAAAUUGCAUUUUACAGAUUAAUCCAAAGUUAGCAAACUCAAAGAUGUCAAAUUCAAAAACUUGUCUGUGAAGACAGAAUAUGGGGUUGUAAUUACUUUUGUUCUUCAGCUGCAUUCUCUACUCACCACUGAUGAUGAGACGGCUGGGAGAUCUCACCAGCAGGACCAGCAUUUAUCAAUCUGCAAAGAGCAGUACACACAGGUCAGAGGGAUUUCGUAAAGUGACUCGAGAGAGAUAUGAUCAAUGCUUAUAUCUUGAAUCCUGAUUCGUCAUUGUUGGCUCUCUUUUUAGGCAGUUCACCUAGAUGGAUAUUGUUCUUAACACUAUGCAAAAUCUACAACCAAAACUUUUAGUGAUCAAAUCUAUAUAGUUGAUCGAAAGGAGAUUAGAAGGCUUGAAAUGGUUGGGGUAGUGAAGGCACCUUUGAGUUACAACGGGAGAAUCGAAGCAACAAAUCUAUUGCAGCAAUAUAUAGUCAUAAAAACAAGUUUAAAGAAGAAAAUGAUUGUUUGCUUGUCUGUUGGAGUGAUAGACUGCUAUCAACCUGGAAUUUUAGGAGAUGAAGUUGAUAUAUAUGUUGGAAUAUAUGAAGGUCACCUUGCAUCGUUUUGAAAGAUGAAGUUGAUAUUUAUGUUGGAAUUAAAAGACUGUUAUAUCAAUUUGAAAAAUAUGAAUAAGUAAAAUUUGAAAAUGAAGAAUCCCAUCGGAUGGUUUUAAAUAAUUUGUGCUAAUAAUUAAUGAAGCACUUAAAUUAGAGGCUCAAGAAGCUGUAUGUUAUGCAAAACUUAUGAUGAUGAUUAUCUAUUUGACGUAUAACAUGAAUAUAGCAGAGAAAAAUGAGAAAAUUCUUUCCGGCAGCCACCGUUUCUGUAUUGGGGCUACAUCAAUCGAGAGAGCCAAAACGACAAGUAUAUUUUAUUUUUAAUAUGCCGGUGCAGAAUAAUAACAGCCACAAGAAAUUUGAUUAAAUCAUUGUCGAUAUUAGAGAUAAAGGCAAAGCUGCCUUAAUAUUGUGUUAGAAUCUGAUUAACAGAACCUAAACUAGUUCAAUAGUCUUAAUCUAGCAUUAGUGAUCUAAGUACAGCUGCCAUAUCCAUGUAAGCCAGCUGUCCUAUAUAUACUAGUGAGCCCUUUGUAUUCUGAUUCAGAUUGAAUAAUACAAUACAGUUACACAUUCAGUUACAACUCUCUCUCUCUCUCUCUUCUCUCUCACUGUGUUCAAGGUUCUUCCACAUUCAUCAAUGACGGAAUUCUAACAGUUCAACUAUGAUUAGAAAAACCAAAUUUCACUGGUAACAAAGUGACAUAACUUUCAAUUUUUUUAUUUUCUACAAUAUUUUGUACCACUUCUUUCUAACAAUAAAAAGUAAAACUGAAAAUCACAGUUAAAGGUCAUAUCCUCACCUUAUAAUUGGUAGACGCAAGUUAUUCUCAAGCCUCUUUUUUCAAGUCUCAUGUUUUCUGGGAACCUGAAAUCACAAAGUCACAAGAAUAUUAAAGAGAACUCGAAAAAGGGAUACAAAAUCACAAGAAUAACAAAGAGAAGAUUAUAUGGUGAAUUAUAUUAAAAAGAAUUACAUGUGCAAUAAACCUCCGCGUCAACAUAUCCAAAUGCGGGGCCUACAAUUGGACCAUGCAUGAGCUUUGUGGAAGUGGAACAAACAGCGACAUCCUUCUGGUUGUGCAUGAGAGCGGUGGUCAUGCCAUUGAUCUGGUCAUGAAUGAUAAUGGAUGCCAACAAAAGAGCAUGGUUUCAGGUCACGAUGACAAUAUAUAUCACAAAAGGCAUGCAUUGUUCAAAAUAAAACACAGUACGUUAUGCAUAAUUUUUACUAUUCGAAAGGAAAUUUACUAAUGUUUGACAACUAUAAACAGAUUGGUGAAUGUUGUGCACCUGUCUACAAUAAAAUCUGAUCUCAGCUGCCAAUCAGGAAAUUAUCACAUAAGGGAUGUGAGAAAUUGUAUGCCAAUGCUCGCCUUGCUCCUUUUGGUACAGCUGCUUAAUUAAUGGACAAUCAUGAAUCGACAAAGUAGAAAGGGAGCUGGGUAGACCCUCCUCUGGCAAGCUAUCAAGACAAGGACAAUCUUCAAUAUAUAGAGAUUCAAGUGAAGUGAGGUGGAGAAGACCCUUGUAGUUUAUUUUUGUUAGGUUUGAACAAUUUGUCAACUCAAGAGAGUUAAUAGUUGAUGGCAGCAUACUCUCCUCUGGAAAGGAUUCGAAGAUUUCAAAAUCGUCACUAAGAGUGAAUUGUUUCAGAGAUUUGAGUUGGAACAAACCCCACUCCUCUAUUGAAGCCAUCAAAUUAGGGCAUCUUUCUAUCCGGAGGCUGCCUAGGUUGCAAGGCAACUGCCUCCCAAAAAACGAUUCCAGCCAUGGACAAUCGUACAACACGAGAGAAUUAAGAUUGGUGAACAAGUGUAGUGCAAAAGGCAAGGAAGAAGAGUGCCAACCUGUUAUAGUUAGAGUGCAAAGGGAAUAACAGCUACACACAUGCAAAGAGGACCAUUCCAUAUUUCGACCAAAGAAGUCUUCAACUUCCAACUCUUCAAGAAAGGCACUAUUAAUUAGAACUUUCUCUAGGGUGGAUUCAAUGACGUGAGUGCCACAAAGGAUGGCCGUUUUCAAGCUUGAUGGCAAUUCAUUUAUCAAAAUGCCAUCACAUCUCUUUAGUUCUAUAUCACUGAUAUUAGCAGCCUUUGGAAUUAAAGCCUCCAACUCUUCGCAAUCAAUAAUCUCCAACUUUUGCAAACAAGGAAGAUGAUGAGGCAGGGCACUUUUCAACUUGGGACAUUGUUUUAGACAAAGCUCUUGAAGCAGAGGGAAACCUUCAAGGCAUAACCAUUCCUUCCAUUCAGACAUAUACUCAACCCGCAAAGUUUCAAGGGAUCUAAAUGCAACAUUUGAUGAAUUAUAGCCGCAAAACUCUGAACCAAUGAUCUUUAUUCCAUGACAGCCUGAAAUGGAAAGCUUCUUGAGAGAAGGGAACUUCCCAAGUGGUGGCAACUGGGAACAAUGUUUACAUCCCACUAAUUCAAGAGAUACUAAAUUUGGUAGAUUAAGAUCCCCAAGCCAAUUUGGAAAGCUACUACCUCUGUAGUCAUUGAUGGUGAGCCUCAUGAGGUUUCUAUUAGGUUGAAGAGCCUCCAAGACCGAUACACGUGCUUCAGUUUCUGAGCCAUCCAUUUCUCUCCAUUCAUCAUACGACAAACUUAAUUCUUCUAAAUGUUUCUUCUCUUUCAAAUUUGCUGCCAUAGCAACUGCUGGAUCCGCCACGUUUUUCAACCCUGAAAUUCGAAGCCUUCCUUUAAGGUGGUUGAGUUCUGCCAACUGCUUAAUAUCAUAUCCAUGUUGCUCUUCCACAACAAAAUCAGUCAGCAUCUCAAGAUUGAUUAAUUCUCUUAUCUUCUUUGGCAUCUUCUUAAUAUGCGUGCCUUUCAAAUUAAGAUGACAUAAAUUGAUGAGAUUGUGAAAAUUUGAUGGGAGCUCAGUCAGUUUAAAACAUUCUUCCAGUAAGAGUGUAUGCAAAUUAUACAACAUACAAAUGGAAUCAGGUAAACUUGUAAUCUCGGUGUAAGAAAGGUCUAGAUAGCGCAGAAGCUUUAAGUUUCUUAUCUCAUCAGCUAGCUCUAAGAGAUUGCAACCAGAGAAAGACAAUAUCCGCAAAUAUUUUAGUCUUGAAAACAAACUCUGCUGCACAUUGGUGGAUAUCUUAAAGCGUUUCUCACCAUAUCCUUGUUCUUCUACCAUCAGACUCUGUAGUCCUUUAAUGUUAUGAAUCUGCUUUAGUUUUCUAUCACCAUCUUCCAAAUCAAGGCGGCACCAAAUGUGACGUGUCCUUUGAGGGAUAUCUUGCACUUUCACACCCUCUAUUCGUAAGCAGAAUUCUCCUGACAUUGAUGUCGCUAAAUCAUUGAUAAGAUCAUGCAUGAUGAAAUAGUACUUACCAGCCCAGAAUGGCAUAAUCGCUGAUGGUUGGAAAAAAGACAUUGACACUAGAUCAUUGAAGAAUUUAUUACCCAACUCUUCUUCUUUUUUGGUUAUUCCCUUUAGCAAACCUUUUGCCAUCCAAAGCUUGAUUAAUUCACCCUUUUCAAACUCAUAACCCUUGGGAAAUAUAGAACAAUAAGCAAAACAAUGCUUCAGAUUGGAAGGGAGGCUAAGGUAACUCAUUCUCAAAGCGGAAUAAAUGUUGCUGUUGUCACCCUUGGGUAAACGCCACAAAUCAGUCUCCAAUAUCUUAACCCAUUCAUUUUCAGAGAACUUUCUUUGCAAGAGAAUCCCCAAUGUUUUCAGAGCUGAAGGCAACCCCCCACAUUUUUCUACUAUUUUCUUGCCGAUCGAUUCAAGAUUUGGAUAUUCAAACAUAUUCCUGCCUUCAAAAGCAUGUCUUACAAAUAAAUUCCAAGAGUCACUCUCCUCCAAUUGCCUUAGAUGAAUUAUCCGGGUGGAUCUCAUGACUGAUGCUACUUCUUUAUCAUUUGUCGUCACAAUCAUUUUGCCUCGAAUGUAUCCCUGGUUAAAAAGAAGUAGUAAACGCUCCAACAUAUUCCUAUUUUUAAUCCAGGCAUCAUCUAGAACAAGUAAAUAUUUAUUCCCUGCUAGCCAUUUUUGCAGUUGAUGAUUGAGUAUUUCUUUGUUGAGACGAAGACAAUCAAAAGAUUCAUCAGAAACAUGGACCCAAGCUUUAAAUUCAAACUGCUCCUGUAUCCUAUGGUCAUUGUAAACAAGCUGGGCAAGGGCUGUCUUACCCAUCCCCGUCAGACCCACUAUACUGAUUAUGGAUACCUGGUUUCGGUUGUAACUGUCUGAAAGUAAAAAUUUGAUUAUUUCCUCUUUUUCACGUUCUCUACCAUAUAUGAUAGAUUCAGCCAUGAAUGAAGUAGCGAAACCGCUGGCUCUUUCUUCAUAUAAAUAAUUAGUAAACUCUUGAAGUUCCAAUCUAGAUUUUUCCAUUGCAAGAAACUCUAGCCUCUUAAGCAAUACUUUAAUCCUAGAUUCAAAUCGAUUGAUAGAACCUGAAAGAAAGCGUUGUAUCUUUCCCUUUUGUUGUGCGGCGUCAGUAGCAAUGACAUCCAAUAGUUGUUCCAAUUCGUAUACCUCAUUACUCACAUCAUCAAGCCAACACUUCACGCCUAGAUCCUCGUACUGCUUUGUCUCUGCGUCAUCUAGUACUAGAUUGAUAAAAUUCAGUGUGGUUUCAAGUUUAUUCACAAGCCCUUUGUCGAAGUAGUCUCUGAAAUCUGUUGAAGCUAAACUCUUACAAAUCAAUCGAAUCACAGGGGAAAGAAAUGCCCCACCAUGAAAAACAUCUUCCAUGAUAUUCAUUAUUUUAAUCUUAACUAAAAAAGCACAAAAAGCACAAGGGAAAGCCAUUAAUUAAAGAUAUGAUCAAUAAUUCAGCUGCUACCGCAUGAGCAUAAGUAAUCACAAGAAAACAUUCUAUAAAUAACAGGUGGAUAUAUAAUUAAAAUCUUAUAUCAAACUUUGAUAUAAAAAAUAAAAUGUUAAUGUUCAAUGAAACAGUAGAAAAUGAAGAAACAUUUGGAAGAAAAUAUUACCUCUAGAAUUAAUGAAGAAACUUUGAUUUUUUUUUUUUAAGGCAAAUAUUAGUGUACUUGGUCAACAGGAUGAGUGUUACGAAGCUACUUGCAUAUAGGUGGAGCCAUCUGGUAGCUGAAACAGUGUUAUCUACUGGGGAGAGGGUGAUUGGUCCAGAUUGCCAGCUGUGUGGCUUCCCUAGAACCAGUCACCAGGCUGAUUGUGAGAUGUGUGAUAAGGUGGCCUAUUUUGAAGAGGCUCACACAGCCAGCGGGCUUUCCAGUUCGAUCCAAUAGCUCAAACACACCAGGAAAAUACAAUUUUGCCCCCAACAAUAGCAUUCUGUCGUCCGGCCUAUGCUGCAACGGUAGUUACCUAUCAUUGUCCCAGCGGCAGUUAGCUACUGUUGCUGUCAGUUUUGCAGACAAUGCUUGCUGUAAAUUCAACCAAGCCAAAAUGUGGUUACAUAAGGGAUUUCCACCAAAUUGCCAAAAUGGAUCAGCAUGCACAUACUCACUUGGAUUUCCACCAACAUCUUUAUGUAUAGCAAUUGUGUUACAAAAAAUAACCAAGUCUGUUCAGCUUCUCAACAUUACAGAAAAGAUGGCUUCCAUGGCAUGGAUUGCACCCAUCAUUGGUGUGCCGCAGGGGUUCCAGAUAGUUGGAAUGACAUUUUGUAUGCGUCAAUCAUGAGCUGGAAUUAAUUGAUCACCAAUCAGCAAUGGUUUACAUGGAUGUUACAUUUUGCAUAGUCCAUGAGAAAACUUUAUUACCAAUAAAAGGAGAUAUUAGGACAUCUUAUUUGAAACAAUUCAAACUCCCAUUAUUGAUGAAAAUAUAACCAAAAUAAAAUUUUACCUCAAUUAAGUUUGGAUAUUUUUGUAUCUCUUCAAAAUUGCUGUAAUUGGAAGGUUUGAAUCUAUUAUGUUCCUUAAUUUGGGAUAUGCUCAAGGUUCGAAGAGGAAAACACUUUCACUCGAAUUCAGCCAUGUUUCUUUUGACAAGAGUAAUUUAUCAGCAUAGAUUAAAAAUGUUGAUGUCAAACUAAGCAGUGAUGGUGUAUAAAAAUUCAGUGACAAGAAUAUAAAAAGAUGGGCUUCCAUAGCAAAACCGACAAUGAUUUACUCUCAAAUUAAUUGAUAUACUUCAUAACAUUGUUCUUCUAAAAGCUCAUCUAAUAAUAUAGAGCUUUGCUAUUUUAUGUACCAAAAUUUCACUACAGAAUUUUACAAAUUAAGUGAAUAGCUUACAAUGCACAAAGGAAGGAUAAUCCCGAAAACCGUUCAUAAGGAUAGAAAAGUAACUCUACUUCAAUAAUUGCAUUUCACGCGAGUCUUAUUUUUAUUUAAUUUUUUUUUGCCAAAUUUUAGCAUUUUCCAAUGGAAUAAAAUUUUGAUUUACACAAAACACUAACAAUGAAUCUGAUCACAAGAAAACAAUAUUAGAAUCAAUUACUUGUCAAGAAUCAAAUUGCAUGUUAUAUACCUAUCAUGUAUCUAUGGAAUUAGUUUAUCCUAAUCAAAAAGAAAAAGGCUAUUUACACAAAUAGUUAGUCCAAAUAAACCCUUCAAUCAUCUGCAACCGCCAGGUUGUACUUUCUUGCCAAAGUAUGGGCAGUUUUGUCAUCCAUAAUGCCAUCAAUCAUCCUAAACUUUUUGUAAUGCACUUUAAGAGUUUCAGCCUGCUGGGCUGCCAACUUCUCUUCUUCUUUUAGCAGCACCUAAAAAAAUGCACUUAGAAUAACUUAACACAGAAUCUCUCAUAGAAUACAUCAACAAACAUAAUUUUAAUCAGUGGCAGUACAUGAGUUAAUAUAAAGUGUUGCUAAAUAGUGGCUUUAGCUACAAUAUAGCACUAUAGGGCAGUGGAAUUUGAAUAAACCGUUAUAAUCUGCGAUCCGGAUUGACUACAAUGCUUUUAAUGAUUUAACAAGUCAGUUUGGCACCACAGAGGUGACUAGAUGAUCUUCCAUACAAAUUAAAAUAAGAGUGUGUGUAAUCUACUACGAAGCAAUACCAUUUAGAGUUCAAACAUAUAUACUAUCAACUGUUAAAAAAUAUGAAAAAAGUGAGUUCUUCAGCCAGAAGAAGUAAAAGGAUGCAUUUUGAUUUCAGUUUUUGCAUCAGUAAUAUACAAUUUUUUUUUAGGGAGAGGGUUUUUUUUUACUUCAACUCUCCCAAAACAAACACAUUUUAAACAUGAGUGCUUCCUUCCAGUAAUUUCCUCUCACAGAACAAUGUCAGGGUAUGGAUUAUACAGAGCAAACUGGCUUCACAUGACAUAUGGUAGUGAUAAAACAAAUCAACCGAUGUAACAACCAGUUUCUUGAAAAUAAAUAAAAUAAAUUAUCACAAUCCUGUAUUAACAAAUCAACCGAUGAUCCAAACAGUUUUUUGAGUUCCACCUCCUCGUAGAAUUUGAAAUCCAUAGUUUCUGAUAUUUUUGAUAUGAAAAGACCAUUUUUUUUCCAUCUCGACAUUUUGCCUAUUUAAAAUGGAUACAAAGUCAAAAGAAUAACAAAGUGUAUAUGGUGAAUUAAAUUAAAAAGAAUUACAAGCGCAACAAGUCUCCGCGUCCACACAUCCAAACGUGGGGCCUGCAACUGGACCAUGCAUCAACUUUGUGGAAGUGGAACAAACAGCCACAUCCUUCUGGUUGUGCGAGAGGGUGGUCAUGAAUGAGAAAGGUUUCAGGUCAGAUGUAAGCAGACAGAAACACGAUUGCAAUAUGUAUCAAAAAAGGCAUGCGCUUUUCAACAUAAAACACUGUAUGUUAUCAUUGUUUUUACUAUUCAAAUGGAAAUUUUCUAUAAACAGAUUGGUGAAUGUUGUGCACCUGGCUACAAUAACAUCUCAUCUCAGCUGCCAAUCAGGAAAUUGUCACAUAAGGAAUGUGAGAAAUUGUAUGCCAACGCUCGCCUUGCUCCGUUUGGUACAACUGCUUAAUUAAUGGACAAUCAUGAAUUGACAAAGUAGAAAGGGAGCUGGGUAGACCCUCCUCUGGCAAGCUCUCAAGACAAGGGCAAUCUUCAAUAUAUAGAGAUUUGAGUGAAGUGAGGUGGAGAAGACCCUUGCAGUUUAUUUUUCUUAGGUUGGGACAAUUUGUCAACUCAAAAGAGUUAAUACUUGAUGGCAGCAUACUCUCCUCUGGAAAGGAUUCCAAGAUUUCAAAAUCAUCACUAAGACUGAAUUGUUUCAG